AGUGCUGAGUCCUAAACUGCUGCUCUGUCAGAUGAAAUGUAGAGCCCAGACUCAUAAAGUGUCUAGCAGCUGCUCCCCGUGUGGAUUUAAGGUUGGACUGGAGCACUGGACAUCAAGCACAGAGACAAGAACUAACAAGUUGGUGAAUGUUGCAGCUGAAGGAGAUACCAAGGAUUAGGUGCAGAUUGCCUAUCACGGCUUCAUGACUCCAAUUCAAAACCAACAAUGUGGACUACAGGUUUUUCAGGGGGAAGAUUUCUACUGUACUUUUAAGCACUCAGUACCUGAUUUUGUCAGCUUCCUUACAUGAAAGUAAAGAGCUUUUGAAAGCUUAAGGAUUAUUCACAGAAUGCUUAUCAACAGAAUGAAACAAAUAUCUGCAUGGCCUGACUACCACCCUAC